CGUGUAGGUGGCGCUAUAAGUUUGGUGUGAAAUUUCAGGGCUUAACCUUGAAUGUGCGCUAAAAACUGUAGGGCUAGAGUGUAAGAGGGGUCUUUGGAAUUACAUGUGUAGAGGUGAAAUUCGUAGAUAUAUGUAAGAACACUCGAGGCGAAGGCAGGAGACUGGCUUACAACUGACACUGAGGCGCGAAAGUGUGGGGAGCAAAACA
rnacentral:rRNA from 1 species